rnacentral:lncRNA from 1 species
GCGAGGAGGCAACUGCAGUUCUGGAGUCGCCCAGCCGUUCUUCUUCCUCCACCAGCGACCCCUGUCCAGAUCGACACCCUUGUCCUGCCCCGACUCCAGGCCACUGCAGGUAAACUGCAUAGGAGUUUUGUCAUUUGCAUCUCGGUGGAUGUUGGUUCCCAUAAGUUCCAGGCUCUGCUCUUGUUCAAUCUUCUUUAAUCUCGUCUCCUCAUGCAUCUUGUCUUUUCACUUAUCCAGUGGUGGCCAUGCUCAUGUGUGAAUGUUUAUCAGUAACUUCUAUACAUAUUAAUUUUCAAAGACCAGAUUUUAACUACUCGAGGGUACAGACGUACAGAUUUAGAAAGAGAAAUCUAACAGAGUUGUGGCACACCUUUUGGGUUAGCAUUGCCGUUUGAGGAUGCUCAAGUGCAGAGCUCCCUAAAUUUCAGAGAUCUGAUUCACCAUAUUCUGCAAUUUGACGCAAAACCUCCGUUACUGUCGACAGAAAAAGGAUGACGUGCAAGCAUGUGUUACUUUCUAGAAAAAAAAACAUGUUUCACUUCAUUUUCUACAUAUGAACCUAACACCAAAGAUUCAGAUUUCUUGUAUGUUGGGUAGGAUUGUAACUCUGCCUGUUUUUUGUUUUAUCUGUUUAUGCCGCAUAAACAGGGACCAAGGGUUAGCCUUACGGUUGUGUGUGAUCCAUAUUAGUGCCUUCGAUGUAUCUCAUGUCCCUGAAUUUCUUUCUUGUACUGGAUAUCUUGUUCUUUCACUCCAAAAUCCUAAUCAGUAGACUUCUCAUUAUCUAGGUGCUCAUUAUUUCUACUUGUUUGUUGUCUCAUGGAUCACAAGUUUAAUGAUUAUUGAAUCAAGAAAUCUUCUGAAUCUGUUAACAUAACCUCCAUUUACUGUCUGCUCAAGUCUGUUUGUGGCAUAUCAUAUUUUAACUUAUGUUUUAGUCUGCUCAAAUGGAGAGCUCCGUAAACUUCAGAAAUCAAAAUGACAAAAUUGUAGGAAUAAAAGGGGUAAUGGAAAAUUGCAUUUCUCUAGUCUCAGUUUAUUCUUCCUUGGCGCCCUACUAUUUACGUUUUUGUCUAUUUGGUAUGUAUAUUUGUAGUGGAUGCCCAAUUCUCCUAUCUAUAUUUUCAUAACUAUGUUUCAAUUAUACUACUUACACAAAGUUGCUUGGUGGAUAGUGCAGUUUUAACUUGCUGCUUCUUGAUAAAAGUUGCUGCCAUGUAUUUAACUCAUCACAUAAUUUGCCCAGUAUGCAUAUUUUUCCACUAUUUUUUAUUAAGCAUCAUGGUCUAAUAUGUGGUAUUUGCAGGAGAAAAGAUGGAAGGAACAAGAGGUGAAAGCGAGCUCCCUGCAUAUGAACAAUCAAGAGUUAGGCUUGUAGCAGACAUGAAUUGGUAGACUCGAGCACCUCUCUUUGAAAGUGAUGCAUCCGAUUAGUUAGUUUUCUAAUUACUAGGGAAAAUAAAUUUGUUGCAGGCUGAAGAACUUGGCUAUGACCCACAGAGAGAUGACAUAUUUGUCAGAGCACAUACACAUAAAAUUGGAGUUCCUACCGCACAAGCAAACACUAAUUGUUAGUCACACAUACACAUCAUGUGUUUUUCUUUAGUACAGCCAUGCACGUGACUGCAUAUCAAUUGAUGAGAAGUAUAGACUGCAGUGACUUAAUUGUAGAACUAAAUUAGGUACCUCAUUUGCUGUAUAUCUUUUUCAGAACAACCUGAAGAAGCAGCUGAACCGCCAACAACACUUGCAAUGGAAAUUCAAUUUCGUCAACAAGAUGAACAGGUUUCUACUCUACUAGAGCUCACGGAACAAAUGCAAUGAAAAAUUGGAGAGAUGCAUCAAGUUCUCUUUUCUCAAGGAAUCGGAAUGUCGAAAUACCAGGUAUUAUUCUUGUCAACUUUUUUCCAUGAGAUGACACUGCUAUGUUUUGUUUGAUGCUUGGGUCAGGAAGACAGGUUCAGAAUUGGGAAAAGGGUCCUCGGUUUGAACUAAACACUAUUUUUUUCUUUUGGGAGAUCUUUGUAUUUUUCUUGAAGGUUUCAACACAUACAGUUCAGUUUGUAGUGUCAUUAUAAAUAGACAAUGCAUCAAGCUACUAGAUAUCUAGUUUCUAUCGGAAAUAGAUAAGAAUUGAGGGCAUGAUAAGGUGAUACUAAAUCUGGGUUAUAACAGAACGUAGAAUUUUUGGUUUCUAUGUUUACAUGUGUGCAGCGCAACCCCCAUUAUCAUGCAAACAGUAUCAAGUUAUGAGGCUUGAUCAUGGAAGCUAGCAGAAAUGUGUGAUUUAGUACGCAAGCUCUGAAUGUUUGCUUGCAUAUUUGUUCAAAUAUGGUGAGUGGUACAAUUGUCCGUCAGUGUGCAAUUCCUAGUAGCUAAACUGAAGCCUGCUCUCUUUUAAAGAUCAGCCACAAAAAAAAAAAUACUUGACUGUUAUUUUCAGGGAAGCAUAUUUAGUUCAAUCCACAUAUUAGGAUUACACCUGACUCCUUUUUUGCAACAUAGAUUCCUGAACUCGCACAUCCAAUCACCGGUCUGAUCUUGUUGUCCAACGACCGAGAGUUCCGAGACGAAUGUGUGGCACUCAGGAAACAUAGGUGAGAAUGAGAUGAUCUUGCACUCAUUUUUUAAUUAUCUUUUCCCUAUAGACAUCUACGUAUAAUAUUGGCACUAGGUUAAUGUAAUUUCUAUUGUAUUCAUGUUGUAAAGAAUGGCUUCAACAUCACAGGAUGUGCAAAUAAGAGAAAAUUUAGCAUCCACUAUUAAGAGAAAAUUCCAUAUCAAAUGUACUUAAACACACUAUAUGUUCAAAUUUGAACUUGUUUGUCAAUGUAUUUCUUGUUUUGCUUCUGGUGGUGCUUGAUUGCACCCCUCUUCUUUUGUCGCUGUUUAUCACCCCCAUGUUGUAGUCUUUUCCCAUCACUAUAUUUGUGCAUCAGCCAUCCUUGCUCUUGUGCUUCAUUUUCUCUGGUCUUCUCCUACAAAUCUUUGAAGUUAUAGUAAAAAUCUUGUUCCUGAUGCCUUUGAACAAAUAUGAUUGUUUAACAAUGAGUGCAUAAUUUGUAUAGUAAGCCAUGUAUGCUAGGAGCUAGCCAAACUUGGGUUGAUGUUCUAAUAAGGAUAUCUUAUGUAACUAGACUGUUUGCAAUACAUCUUCUAUUUUUGAGAUCUUGUUUACAUCUUUGGGUCAAGGGAAACUCGGAAGUUAGAAAUUCUCAUUUCUAUAAUUGCUCAAACAUAUAACUUCUUUUGCAGGGACAUAUGGUAGAAAGUAGGAAGUCCACAAGUUGAUCUAAGAUGUUCCGGUGAUCGCUUUUGUUCAUUACAUGGUCGACACAACUUAUUCGUAUGGAAGUUGAUGCCGGCUUUGGUGAUCGAAGGAUUGGUCUUUUUCAUAUAAGGAAGUUGAUGCUGGCUUGGUGAUUGAAGGAUUGGUCUCUUUCAUGUGGAAGUUGAUGUCGGCUUGGUGAUUGAAGGACUGGUCUCUUUCAUAAUUGCUCUCUUAGAAGCUUGCCCCUCGUAUUUUGGAGCAGGUCACGUCUUGUGUGUAAGACCUAUGUAUUUCCUUAAUGGAUGUAGCUAACUUGAGUGAAGAAAACUAAUGAAUCUUCAAUUUAUGUUGAAUAAAUGUAUUGGUUAAUGGUAUCUUGUGAUGAAUAUAUAGAAGAGUAAUUGUUUGUAUAUGUAUUGUGUACUGAACAUGAAUUGAAUUUUAUGAAUGUAAUUUCACUCAAAAUAUGGUGCAUUUGUAUUUGUUCUGAAAUGUAGA